rnacentral:rRNA from 1 species
AUUGAACGCUGGCGGCAGGCCUAACACAUGCAAGUCGGACGGUAGCACAGGGGAGCUUGCUCCUCGGGUGACGCGUGGCGGACGGGUGAGUAAUGUCUGGGGAUCUGCGCGAUAGAGGGGGAUAAACACUGGAAACGGUGGCUAAUACAGCAUAAUGUCGCAAGACCAAAGAGGGGGACCUCCGGGCCUCUCACUAUCGGAUGAACCCAGAUGGGAUUAGCUAGUAGGCGGGGUAAAGGCCCACCUAGGCGACGAUCCCUAGCUGGUCUGAGAGGAUGACCAGCCACACUGGAACUGAGACACGGUCCAGACUCCUACGGGAGGCAGCAGUGGGGAAUAUUGCACAAUGGGCGCAAGCCUGAUGCAGCCAUGCCGCGUGUAUGAAGAAGGCCUUCGGGUUGUAAAGUACUUUCAGCGGGGAGGAAGGCGAUGUGGUUAAUAACCGCGUCGAUUGACGUUACCCGCAGAAGAAGCACCGGCUAACUCCGUGCCAGCCGCCGCGGUAA